rnacentral:rRNA from 1 species
GGAUCAAUAUGUUGGUCGUGCUUAGGUACGUACUGGCGUCAUUGAUUUCUCCCUUCUGACGAACCAUGAUGUCAUUUAUUUGGUGUUGUGGGGAAUCAGGACUGUUACCUUGAAAAAAUUAGAGUGUUUAAAGCAGGCUCACGCUUGAAUACAUUAGCAUGGAAUAAUAAAAUAGGACGUUUGAUUCUACUUUGUUGGUUUCUAGGAUCGACGUA